rnacentral:rRNA from 1 species
AUUGAACGCUGGCGGCAGGCUUAACACAUGCAAGUCGAGCGGGGGAAGGUAGCUUGCUACCGGACCUAGCGGCGGACGGGUGAGUAAUGCUUAGGAAUCUGCCUAUUAGUGGGAGACAACAUCUCGAAAGGGAUGCUAAUACCGCAUACGUCCUACGGGAGAAAGCAGGGGAUCUUCGGACCUUGCGCUAAUAGAUGAGCCUAAGUCGGAUUAGCUAGUUGGUGGGGUAAAGGCCUACCAAGGCGACGAUCUGUAGCGGGUCUGAGAGGAUGAUCCGCCACACUGGGACUGAGACACGGCUCAGACUCCUACGGGAGGCAGCAGUGGGGAAUAUUGGACAAUGGGGGGAACCCUGAUCCAGCCAUGCCGCGUGUGUGAAGAAGGCCUUAUGGUUGUAAAGCACUUUAAGCGAGGAGGAGGCUACUCUAGUUAAUACCUAGGGAUAGUGGACGUUACUCGCAGAAUAAGCACCGGCUAACUCUGUGCCAGCAGCCGCAGUAA